GGUGCCUGGUGCCCAGAGUGGCCAGAAGGAAGUCAGAACCCUUGGAACCGGAGUUACAGACGAUUAUGAGCCACCAUGUGGUUGCUGGGAAUUGAACCUGGGACCUCUCGAAUAGCAGCCAACAACAUAAGCUUAACUGUGAGACUACAGCUAUCUAGUCUUCAACCCCAUCAGCGACUUGAGAAGGAAUCAAUAUUACCUGAGGAUGCAGGAAGUUCAGGCAAGCAGCUUCCAAAACUAUAGAAAUGACAGAGAAAGUUGGCUGCCUGAACAGUCCCCCAGAAUUUCUCUAAAACAGUGGAGCAUCAUCUUCAGCCCUCUGGCCCAGAAUAUCUGGCAGACCUUUCUGUGAAGCAAGAACUAUGAAGGACUUGCCUACCUUGUCCUUGCAAAGCUCAGCAGUCAACUUUCCUGUGUCCAGUUUGGAAAGCAUUUUGUCUGAAGUUGAGGUAAGGGCACUUUCUUGCCCAGGGACUAGCUUGCUACAUAUGAAGCAAACUCUAUAUGGAGGUUCUUUGAUGUCCGUCAUUCCAGCACACAUGGAAUGGCAGUGCUGCCGGGAAGCAGACCUGUCUCGUCAAAAAAAAAAAAAAAAAAAGGCUUUAAUUUCAUAAAAUAUUUUAAAUGUUACAUUCUGUAGAUCUUUGAUAUUUCUGAAGACCAUCUAUAAUAUAUCUGAAUUGUUUAUUUCUAGCUAUUUACUAUCUGCUCAGUCUAGGAAACAUAUAUUUAUAAUUAACUAAACUAAUUUCUAACAUGACCAUGAGUUUGGUUGUCUGGUGAUAAUUUGCAUUUCUUUUUUUUUAAGAUUUAUUUAUUUAUUUAUUAUAUGUAUGUACAUUGUAACUGUCUUCAGACACUCCAGAAGAGGGCAUCAGAUUUUUGUUACGGAUGGUUGUGAGACACCAUAUGGUUGCUGGGAUUUGAACUCAGGACCUUUGGAAGAACAGUCGGUACUCUUAACUGCUGAGCCAUCUCACCAGCCCCAAUUUGCAUUUCUUAAUUAUCAUAAAUAGUUGGUAAUAUCAGGUAUCAUGGACUAGAACUUAACAUUACAUUUUUAAAUGAGUUACAUAGGUACAAUACUAUAAUAUGUUGUAGCAAAAUAUUAAUAUAUUCUCAUUUGUAUCAAUAUACAAGCCUCUAUACCAAUGUUACAUUAUUGGCUAUAAAGCUUUUUUUGUUUAAAAGGAGAUUCAGCCGGGCAUGGUGGCACACACCUUUAAUCCCAGCACUUGGGAGGCAGAGGCAGGCGGAUUUCUGAGUUCGAGGCCAGCCUGGUCUACAAAGUGAGUUCCAGGACAGCCAGGGCUAUACAGAGAAACCCUGUCUCAAAAAGACAAAAAAAAAAAAACAAAACAAAAAGGAGAUUCAAUAAUCUAUCCCCUUUUCUAUUAUUCCUUUAAUAUUCCUAUAUCCCCCUUUUUCUUUUCAACCCCUCUCUCCCUACAUAAGAAGGAGUCAGUAGAGCAUAGGUUCUUAAUCCCAGGUUCAUGGUUUUGUGCCCCACGUUGGGUGACAGAUAUAAAAGUAACUUUUAUUCACCUGAAGUAAUUGUCAUUUCCCAGGGUUACUGCCUUCAUUUGCUAACCUAGGCCUAGUCCUGGAAUUGUCUGGCCUGGGUACAAUCUAAUCUAGGCCUAGAAUAUUCUCAGCCUCUGAGACUUACUGCUGAAUAAGCUUACUCCUUCCUAGUUCUUUCUGAUCUCUGACUGACUAGCUGUUCUGGAUAAAAUUUCUCACCAAGCUGACUGAUUCAAUCUGGUUUCUCUCUUGGCUUCUGAAUUGCUCUCUUGAUCUCAAACUAACUUUGGCAAUGUUUGAAGGUCUGGGUACUGCUGCCUGUCUAACCAGCCAUUUUAUGCUGUUAUUAAUGUUACAAGGAAACUUUCUCAUAUACUCUAACUACUGUUAAUAGGAAACUUUCUUGUACCCGGGUUGAUUGAAUAUUCUGUUAUCUUCUGUGCUUUGAUGGUCUUGGAAACCAAUCACAAUAGAAGUCAGAACUGCGUUGCAUAGUUAGCCACAAUAAGCUUGGAGAUGAAACAAUUAAUGUGUGUCUUUUGUGUGUGUGUCUGUGUGUGUGUGUCUGUGUGUGUCUGUGUGUGUGAGACUGUGGGUCUCUGUGUGUGUCUUUGUAUAUGCUUGUGUAUGUAUUUGUGUGUGUGUGUGUUUGAUCUAUGUGUGUGUCUGUGUAUGUGUGUGCAUGUGUGAUGUGUGUCUGUGUGUGUGUCUGUGUAUGUAUGUGCAUGUGUGUCUGUGUAUGUGUCUCUUUUGUGUGUGUAUAUGUGUGUGUAUGGGUGUUUGUGGCCUAGAGAUGACUCUGUUUCCUUACUGAAGCACUGCUAAAACUUCUGAGCAGCUUCAUAACUUUUCUCAUGUUUACCAGACUAAGCUCCAUGACAACAGUCAUUGUUUCAUUCACUGGUGUAUUCUAAGUACCUAAAACAAUGCCGGUUUUAUAGUAUGUAUUUAAGAGAUAUUUUCAAUACAUAGAUAGACAUUGCGUGAUUGACAUUCCAUCAUGGGUGUCUACCCUUACUCCUCCUCCUAAGGUGAUUACUUUGGUUGUUUUCCAUCUCUUGCUGUGACUGUACACUUCACAUGAGUUCAUAUGUAGGAUGGAAUGUUUGAUCUAGAAUCGCUAGUAAGAGUAUGUGCAUUUUUGGUUUAGUGUUUUGAGACAGAAUUUCAUGUAAACCAAGUAUGGUGGUUUGAAUAGGAAUGGCCACCAUAGCCCCUGAGUGUUUGAAUGGUUGGUCCAUAGAAAGUGGCACUAUUAGGAGGUGCGGCCUUUUUGGAGUAUGUGUGGCCUUGUUGGAGGAAGUCUGUCACUGUGAAGGAGGGCUUUGAGGUCUCAUAUAUGCUCAAGCUCUGUCCAGUGUGGAACACAGUCUCCUUCUGCUGCCUGUGGAUCAGAUAUAGACCUCUCAGCACCAUAUUGGCCUGUACGCUGCCAUGCUUCGCAUCAGGAUGAUAAUAGACUAGGCCUCUGAAACUGUAAGCCAGCCCCUAUUAAACGUUAUCUUUAUAAGA